rnacentral:rRNA from 1 species
AUUGAACGCUGGCGGCAUGCCUAACACAUGCAAGUCGAACGAGUGGCGGACGUGUGAGUAAUGUCUGUGAACCUGCCUGCUGGAUGGGGAUAACUACUGGAAACGGUAGCUAAUACCACAUUCCAUCAGAUGUGCCCAGAUGGGAGUAGCUAGUGGGUGGGGUAACGGGUCACAAAGGCGACGAUCCCGAGCUGGUCUGAGAGGAUGACCAGCAAAACUGGAACUGAGACACGGACCAGACUCCGACGGGAGGAAGCAGUGGGGAAGAUGGCACAAUGGGCGCAAGCGUGAUGCAGCCAUGCCGCGUGGAUGAAGAAGGCCUUCGGGUUGUAAAGUACUGUCAGCGGGGAGGCGUUACCCGCAGAAGAAGCACCGGCUAACUCCGUGCCAGCAGCCGCGGUAAUUC